rnacentral:rRNA from 1 species
UACGUAGGGGGCAAGCGUUGUCCGGAAUCAUUGGGCGUAAAGAGCGUGUAGGCGGCUUGGUAAGUCUGCUGUGAAAGCCCGGGGCUCAACCCUGGGAGGCGGGUGGAUACUGCUGAGCUCGAGUCCGGAAGAGGCGAGUGGAAUUCCUGGUGUAGCGGUGAAAUGCGCAGAUAUCAGGAGGAACACCAAUGGCGAAGGCAGCUCGCUGGGACGGUACUGACGCUGAGACGCGAAAGCGUGGGGAGCAAACAGG